GGUCCAGACUCCUACGGGAGGCAGCAGUGGGGAAUAUUGCACAAUGGGGGAAACCCUGAUGCAGCGACGCCGCGUGAGCGAUGAAGUAUUUCGGUAUGUAAAGCUCUAUCAGCAGGGAAGAAAAUGACGGUACCUGACUAAGAAGCCCCGGCUAACUACGUGCCAGCAGCCGCGGUAAUACGUAGGGGGCAAGCGUUAUCCGGAUUUACUGGGUGUAAAGGGAGCGUAGACGGCGGUGCAAGCCAGAUGUGAAAGCCCGGGGCUCGACCCCGGGACUGCAUUUGGAACUGUGUGGCUGGAGUGUCGGAGAGGCAGGCGGAAUUCCUAGUGUAGCGGUGAAAUGCGUAGAUAUUAGGAGGAACACCAGUGGCGAAGGCGGCCUGCUGGACGAUGACUGACGUUGAGGCUCGAAAGCGUGGGUAUCAAACAGGAUUAGAUCCCCCAGUA
rnacentral:rRNA from 1 species